GAAAAUCCGUUGACUUUAAAAAUCGUGAGGGUUCAAGUCCCUCUAUCCCCA
rnacentral:tRNA from 1 species